UCAAAGUAAGUUAUUUUUAAGAAAAUGUCACAAAUGUUAAUAAAUGAGAAGUGUGGGCUUCUCGACUCUCUUUACAACCCAUAAAACCUCUUGGCAAAAGUCGAAUCCAACCUUGUGACUUUAAUGAGAAAGAACAUGCAAGUAGCUCAUGCUUGGCAUGUGCCUGAACUGAGGUCAGUAAAGCCAUCCUGAAAUGCAUGCAUGAUACAAGACUGCUAUGCAUCGCAUAAAAUGCGGCUGUCACUUCACCUAGGCCUAUAUUAUAAACUCAAUGAAGGGCCCAUAAUCACCCAAAAUGCCUAAGGGAACUAGGCAUAAUAACACCAUUCAUUGCCAAAGUCUCACGCCUUCUUAUAAACUUGGUAAUAUGAAUGUUUUAAUUUGAUAUGCCUCAAGCACAAAAGGUUGGUUCUAUCAUCACAUGUAGUCAUUCGGAUGUGAUGCAUGAGUCCUGGUGUUAAUUAGAACCAGCCCAUUCAGAGAAAAGGUGACCUGGAGGACACGAGGGCUGGUGUAUGCCAAGUAAACCACCUACAUUUGGACAAUCCUCCAUGACAACUGAUUACUUGUCACAGGGGAGCAGCUAGUGUCAGGCAGGACAUGAGCCACUUCAUUCACAGCUGUGCGUGAGGCACUGCCUUUCAGAAACCCUGCGUUUGGAAGUAACACCCUAAGAUACAUGUUUCAGAAGACAACCCACAAUCUAUCAUUUACAUCCUGAUAUCAUUCAUUCACAACUGAACAAAUACUUGUCCUUUGGAAGAAGACCCUCUACAAUCCCUCAUUGCACUUUAAGAUUUCUACUCUAUAGAGUGAAUUAGAUCCGGAAGAAGAAACUAGUUGACUACAGUGAGGGGUAGGAGAAGGACACAUACCGGAGACUAGGGAUCUGAAUGCUGCAACAAUGGCUCUGUCCUGCUCAAAAUAACAGCUGCUUUCACACUCAUGCGAAAUGUCAGACUUUGUGAUUCGAAAGACCAGAUUAUACAGACUGUUACAGACAUUUAUUCAAAAUAUACAAGAUACUACAUACAAAAAUACUAUGCAUCAAACAAUGUAAACAUGAGCGCAACCAAUAGUAUGCCUCACAGUAUUAAUAUAA